CUUGGUUGAUUUUGCUAGUAGUUAUAUACUUGUCUUAAAGAUUAAGCUAUACAUGUCUAAGUAUAAGCACUUAUAUUGUGAAACUGCGAAUAGCUCAUUAAAUCAGUUAUAGUUUAUUUGAUAGUAUCUUUACCUGGAUAACUAUGGUAAUUCUAGAGUUAAUAUAUACUAAAAACCUCGACUUCAGAAGAGGUGUAUUUAUUAGAUAAAAAACCAAUGCCCUUUGGGGCUCCUUAGUGAUUCAUAAUAACUUAAUGAAUCACAUGGCCUUGCGCUGGCAAUGGUUCAUUCAAAUUUUUGCCCUAUCAACUUUCGAUGGUAAGAUAGUGGCUUACCAUGGUCUCAACAAGUAACAAGGAAUUAGGGUUCUAUUCUGGAGAGGGAGCUUGAGAAAUGGCUACUAUAUCUAAGGAAGGUAGCAAGUGCAUAAAUUACCCAAUUCUGAUUCAGAGAGGUAGUGACAAUAAAUACUGAUAUGGGGCUCUUUUGGGUCUCAUAAUUAGAAUGAGUACAAUCUAAAUCCCUUAAUGAGGAAUAAUUAGAGGGCAAGUCUGGUGCCAACAGCUGCAGUAAUUCUAGCUCCAAUAGCAUAUAUUAAAGUUAUUGUUGUUAAAAAGCUUAUAGUUAAACCUUGGACCUGGUUGAUCUGUCCUCCUAAUCGAGUGUAUAGAUUUAGUUAGGUCUUUUCUUCUGGGGAGCCUUAUGCCCUUUACUGGGUGUAAUGGAGAACCAGGACUUUUACCUUGAAAAAAUUAGAGUGUUCAAAGCAAGCCUUUGCUCAAAUAUAUUAAUAUAGAAUAAUAGAAUAGGAUAUUGGUUUUAUUUUAUUGGUUUCUAGGAUUGUUGUAAUGAUUAAUAAGGAUAGUUAGGGGUGUCUAUAUUUAAUUGUUAGAGGUGAAAUUCUUGGAUUUAUUAAAGAUGAACUAUUGUGAAAGUAUUUGCCAAGGAUGUUUUCAUUAAUUAAUAAAUGAAAGUUAGGGGAUCAAAGACAAUCAAAUACCAUUGUAGUCUUAACUAUAAACUAUACUGACUAGGGAUCAGAUGGUGGUUUUUUUAUACCUUAUUUAGUACCUUACAAGAAAUCAAAGUAUUUAGGCUUAGGGGGGAGUAUAGUUGUAAAGCUGAAACUUAAAGAAAUUGAUGGAAGGGCACCACAAGGUAUGGAGCCUACAGCUUAAUUUAACUCAACAUAGGGAAACUUACUAGAUCUAGACAUACUUAGGAUUAACACAUUGAUAGCUCUUUCUUGAUUGUAUGGGUAGUAGUGUAUGGCUGUUCUUAGUUGGUAAGUUUUAACCUUGUUUUCUUUAUACAAAAUCUUUUAACUAAUGUUUUUAUAGGUAGAGUGAUUUAUCUACUUAAUUAUAAUAAUAAACAAGACCUUGACCUACUAAAUAGCCUAAUUGACUUUUGUUAGUUACUGGCUUCUUAGAGGGACUUUUGGCUUAAGCCAAUGGAAGUACAAGGCAAUAACAGGUCUAUGAUACCCUUAGAUGUUCUAGGCUGCACAUGCACUACACUAACAAAGCUAGUGAGUAUAUCAUCUUGGCUGAAAGGUCUGGGUAAUCUUGUUAAACUCUAUUGUACUAGGGAUAGAGCAUUGUAAUUAUUGCUCUUCAAUGAGGAAUGCCUAGUAAGUAUAAGUUAUCAGCUUGUGUUGAUUAUGUCCUUGCCCUUUGUAUACACCACCUGUUGCUACUACUGAUUGAAUGGCUUAGUGAGGCCUUGGGACUGGCUCAGAAAGGUUGGUAAUGACCAUUCAGAGCUGGAAACUUGGUCAAACUUGGUUAUUUAGAGGAAGUAAAAGUUAUAACAAGGUUUCUGUAGGUGAACCUACAGAAG
rnacentral:rRNA from 1 species